rnacentral:lncRNA from 1 species
CAAGGGCUUCCUCUAAGCUGCAGAGUCUGUUUGGUCAAGAACAGAUGCAGAGAAAGCCCCUGGGGGUGGGCAGUAGCCUGGAGGAUCCCGUGCGUGAAUGCCCCUGCCUCCCAGCCUGCAGGCAGAUCAUUCUGGAAGGCAUUCUGCCUGCUCCUCAGGGCACAGCCGAGCUAUACAUUGUCACACACAUCUGCUUUUGUCUUCUCUCUCUACCAGCUGGCUCUCUGUGCUCAGGGCCCUGCAGCCAGUGAAAGAUGACUCACUCCCAAGUAUACCUGUUGCCCAAGAAGAAGGUAGAUUUCUCUCUCUCUUCCUCCCUCUCCCUCUCUCUCUCUUUCUCUCUCUCCCUCACACACACACACACACACACACACACACACACCAAGAAAAAGUCUUAUUCCAAAUUCCCAGAGAAGGGCUCUGAUUGGCCAACCUUAGGUCACAUGAUCCAUCUUAAUCCAAUCAAAUGUGACAAGGAGCUGUGGUCAUAGUAGCCAAUAUGACUGACAGCCCUACCCCAUUCUGCUGAUGAGGGAACAGGGUGCCACUGGGAUCCAGGAAGAUGUCUCUGUGCCACGGCCACUGGAGAAUCUUGUUAAAAUGCAGGCUUGGGUGAGGCUUGAUAGCUGCAUUCUUAACAAGCCCUCAAGUGGUGCUGAUGUGUAUAUACUGUCCACACUUCGAGUAGCCAAGGAGGACAUACUCAUCCCUCUGCAGUCUCAUUAUGUAAGAACCUACCCUCCCCACACCCAACAAGAGAAACCCUGGCUAAACAGCAAAGACUGAAAGAAAGAUUUCUUGCUGCUUGAGAUAUGACAAGGAGUGAGUUGUCACUGACAUUUCGAUGGAGUUUUUUUUAUACAAGGACAUUUAACUCAGCCUACAAACCAAACCAUUAAACAUACAGCCGAGUAAUUAGUUUUGCCAACUCAUGAUCAAAUCAGAUCAAAUCAGAGCUCAACUCUGAGCCUCACCCCAUUAUCUGCCAGGGAUCAUGAUGGGAGCAUCUCUGAUUAAGUUAAAACAGCAGUUUUUACAUUUCAACACAGCGUUUUUGUCGCAGUCACAUAAAACUGGCCAAGUUGGGGAGUUCCCGUUGUGACUCGGUGGUUAGCGAACCCAACUAGCUUCCAUGAGGACAUGGGUUUGAUCCCUGGCCUCACUCAGUGGGUUAAGGAUCCCAUGUUGCCAUGAGCUGUGGUGUAGGUCACAGACGUGACGCGGAUCUGCGUAGGCCAGCAGCUGCAGCUCCGAUUCAACCCCUAGCCUGGGAACCUCCAUAUGCCACAGAAGCAGCCCCAAAAGACAAAAACAAACAAACACAAAAACCUGGCCAAGUCAAAGUGGUCUGCUUCAUCUGUUCCCCUUCACCCAGCCCCUCAAGUGUCCCCAGCUGUGCACCCUGGGCCCUGGCCUCCUGCAAUCUCCUCCCCCUGCAGCCCCCUUGUCAUCUGAGGUCUCCUACCCUCAUCUGUGGUGGAUUAUGGCCCACAGAGAUCCCUCCAGCCCCUGCUCCAUCUGCAUCUGUCCUAUCCUGCCUUGUCUGUGGCCUCAGUGACAAUCAGUACCAGGCACUCCUAUUUCAACUGCUCUUCAUGGCUGCGGCCAUGUGCCCUGCACAGCUCAGCCCUUCUUACUAGCCAGCUGGGAGAUGGCCAAGAUCUCUGGCCAAACCACCAUGGGAAAUGGGGUGUUCCCAUUUGGGGUAGAAACCCAAUCUUGGUGGAGACUCUACCACCCAAGUGCUGUAGAACAUUUCUGUGAGGCUCCUAGGGGCCCGGGAAGGCCGCCUGGCACUGUGCUCCAGGACCAGGCCUGCAGAGGCAGCACAGCCUUGACACCUACCACUCAGCAUUUCACAUCGCCAUGGCACCCUACCCUGUUACCUCUCUUCUGGAAAAGGCCAUCAAAGGCAAGAUUCCCAAUACAUCCAAACCUUCCAGAAUUAGGAUCCAGCAUGAGCCUUGGUUAAUGAAUCCAACUAGGAACCAUGAGGUUCGAUCCCUGCCCUUGCUCAGUGGGUUAACGAUCCGGCGUUGCCGUGAGCUGUGGUGUAGGUUGUAGACUCAGCUCGGCUCCCGAGUUGCAGUGGCUCUGGCGUAGGCCAGUGGCUACAGGUCUGAUUCAACCCCUAGCCUGGGAACCUCCAUAUACCAUG